AGCGAACGCUGGCGGCAGGCUUAACACAUGCAAGUCGAACGGGCAUCUUCGGAUGUCAGUGGCAGACGGGUGAGUAACACGUGGGAACGUACCCUUCGGUUCGGAAUAACUCAGGGAAACUUGAGCUAAUACCGGAUACGCCCUUUUGGGGAAAGGUUUACUGCCGAAGGAUCGGCCCGCGUCUGAUUAGCUUGUUGGUGGGGUAACGGCCUACCAAGGCGACGAUCAGUAGCUGGUCUGAGAGGAUGAUCAGCCACACUGGGACUGAGACACGGCCCAGACUCCUACGGGAGGCAGCAGUGGGGAAUAUUGGACAAUGGGCGCAAGCCUGAUCCAGCCAUGCCGCGUGAGUGAUGAAGGCCUUAGGGUUAUAAAGCUCUUUUGUCCGGGACGAUAAUGACGGUACCGGAAGAAUAAGCCCCGGCUAACUUCGUG
rnacentral:rRNA from 1 species